GGCGAACCGUGCAAACGUUGUUCGGAAUCACUGGGCUUAAAGGGCGCGUAGGCGGGCCAGCCAGUCUGUGGUGAAAGCCUCCAGCUUAACUGGAGAAGUGCCGUGGAUACUGCUGGCCUCGAGGAGGAUAGGGGCAUCUGGAACGGUCGGUGGAGCGGUGAAAUGCGUUGAUAUCGACCGGAACUCCGGUGGCGAAGGCGAGGUGCUGGGUCCUUUCUGACGCUGAUGCGCGAAAGCCAGGGGAGCAAACGGG
rnacentral:rRNA from 1 species